CACACACACACACACACACACACACACACGUCAGAGGGGAGCGGUUCAAGUGCCAGAGUGUACUGGUUCAGCCCAUGUUAGAGUGUCACAUCCAGCUCUGUCCCAUACACAUGAGUUUCUGGGAAUUUCUGAGUUUAAUGAAUACAAAGACAGAAACCCGAUAAAUAGGCAGGUUGGAGGCAAAAUCAUCCUAUUCUUAUAAGAGUAGAUUUUUGAAUUUUGUGUGUUUAUUCUUGUGCCUCCCAGGCCAAAGAACUACCUCCAAAACCAUCAUCAAGGCCACAGCCAUCACGCCCACCUGUGCAGCUGAAUGCCGGCUCCCAGAGUAAUAGAAAUGAAUAUAAGCUAUAUCCUGAGCUUUCUAGCUAUCAUGAGAAAACUGGCAGUUUGAGUCAGCCAAUAGAAGUGACAGCAUUAUACUCUUUUGAAGGGCAACAGCCCGGGGACUUGAAUUUUCAAGCAGGAGACAGAAUCAUAGUUAUAUCAAAGACCGACUCAAAUUUUGAUUGGUGGGAAGGAAAACUUCGAGGUCAAACUGGAAUUUUCCCAGCCAACUAUGUAACUAUGAAUUAAAGUUCAUACGAUUUUGUUAUUUGAUAAUUACACAAAAACAUUUCUACACAGACAGGAUUCACUAUUUACAUCAGAUUGUUUAAACACACCCUUGCUCUGCAAAUGUUUUUAUCCAGUUGUAAAAUAUUUUCUCUGCAUAUAAAUAAAUGGUUAAAUCAG
rnacentral:lncRNA from 1 species